GCCGGCCCUCGCGCAGGAAUCUGGCCAGCAGCCGCGCCAUCUUCAUCAGCCGGAAGCUGGGGCUGAAGAUACGGGCGUGUUGGGCAGAGCCGCCAACCCCCAUCCUCGGGGCCCCCUUCCUGCCACAAGGAACCAGCAGCCCGGAUUACACGGGCAGCCCCAACAACAUAACCAGCGUGAAGUCCAAAACCACAAGCCGGAUGGGAAAAUCUGUUAAUCCAUUCCUAAAUAACUGCGAUUACUGUGUGAGAGCUCUCGGGGCCCUGAGCGGCUUCCCCAACCUGGAGUCUCACUGGACACCCCUCCCCUGCUGCUGACGCGGAUAACUCAGUGCUUGCUUUGAUCACAGCAACCUCUGAAAACCCAGCUUCUCAAGAUGCAGUGUCCCGGCAAGGACUGCAGUGUGAUCUGAGGACAGGCGAGAAGUGGGCCGAGGCAAACUCCUCCUUCUCCCUCGGGAGCGCUGGAGGCUCCAUCUCACCGAGAUACCGCUUCAGGGACUCCAGGGUGCAGAAGAUGUGGCCGCCAUCCUCCGAAGACGAGAGGGCAUGAAUGGCUUCCCGGACGGCGAGUCGAACCUCUGAGGGUGCUGGCUCCAUCCUGCAGGACAGAUCUGGGCGUCACGGGAAGACGACCUGUGACAUGGACACAGGGCUCAGCUUG
rnacentral:lncRNA from 10 species